rnacentral:lncRNA from 1 species
CAUGAUGUGUGGAAAAGCACACACCACAAUCUCAAUCACACAAAAUGGGAUAUUGUGUAUAUAUGCAUACAACCUAGAGGGACACGUCCAACUAAGCUUCUUGUGACUGGAUGACUUUGUUCUUUGCUUGUGUGUGUGUGUGUGUGUGUUUUCCUGUAAUGUACAAUUUACUUUUAAAAAAUAAAAAUUAUUUUAAAAACCUGAAAAAAAAAAACUAACCAAACACUAAACUAG